CGACAGAGGAGCAGUACACAGAUGAACAUGGACAGCGGUGUUCAGAAAGGUGAUGUUUUCUGAGCGUGAGUCUGACUCAGUGUGGGGGGAGGAGUCAGCUGAAGGUCGCGAAGUCAGCCGUGUGGAGCGGAACACGGCGGUGGAGGGGCAGUGGACCGAGACGCACCACAGUGACCCCGCCCUGACCUCUGAACUCCCCACGGCCCGGGACGACUUCACACAGGGCCAAGAUGUGUAAGAGGCGUACCCAGAGACGGACAGUAGUGUGGGGGGGGAGCCUCCUGGAGCGACUAGACGACCUCUCUGAUGGGUCACGACUCCACAACCUCCAGCAGCACCUUCAUCACCUCAUCCACCUCUACUGUGAGGAGGAGGAGAAGGGAAGGAGGAGGAGAGGGGAGAAACGGCAUAACAGGCCUCCUUCAUCGCCUCGCUAGCUUCCUGUCCGCCCUCUGACCACACCCCUUUCCCUGAAGAUCCACCAAUCCUAUGCAUCAGGCACAUGCAAUCCCAGAGUGCUCCAGUGCACCUCAGUCCUGCCACCGUCUUCCUGUUUCAACAAUCACUACUGUUUGGUCUCAGCUGCUCGGCUGGUUAUUGCUCUCUUUCUUUCUUUUUCUUUCUUUCUUUCUGUGUUUUUCUUUUGCCUUUUUGUUGUGACCAAAGAGAGUUUGUGGUUGAUGAAUUCAGUUUGUCCCAUGUUUGUUCUGUAUGUAUUGGAUAUUGAUGCGGUGGUAGAACGCAGACAGACAUUAGUCAUGUAUGUGUUGUACUGCUAGAGUAGGUGGAUGGACUAACAGACGCUAUGAUAUUCACCUCACAACACUACCUAUCACUAGGACUACAGUUCUUAGUUAUUCUUACUACUACAUGAAAACUAGAUCACUUCCUCUUCCUCAUAUUGACCUUUCUUUAAAAAAGGUCAGAUAUCACGAUGUCACCUGUAGCACCCCUGAACCCCAAUCCCUGCUUCCUGCUUCCUGCUGCUAGAGUGUUUAGUGUUCGUGUUCUACCUGUCUUCAGAAAGUAGCUAUAUCUAAAUAUGUGGAGAAAAAAAAACGAUUGUCAUCCGUAACCUAGGCAACCUUAUUAGUCCCCUCUGUUACCGGCUAGAGUAGUCAUGAUUGGUCUGUUAGCUGGUGACGAUCAUAGCUGAGAUAGUGGUAAUGAUAUCUAGCCUUGAUCCUUUUCUCUCUCUCUCUCUCUCUCUCUCUCUCUCUCUCUCUCUCUCUCUCUCUCUCUCUCUCUCUCUCUC